AGAAGAUGAAAUUUAUGUUGAGGAGUUCACGAAACAUGUUACAUAUUAUGUAGACUUUAAUGAGGAAAAUUGCGAUGUUAAGUGUUCAUGUGGGUUAUUUCAAAUGAAGGGGAUACUGUGUAGGUAUGUCUUGGCCAUAUUGAAAUGUAACGGGAUAAAGUACUUGCCAGAUAGGUACAUUUUAGAUCGAUGGAGGAAGGACAUCAAACGGAGAUACACGUUAAUCCAGAGUACCUAUAACACAGGAAAUCAACGAGAAGAUACUAACAGAUAUUCAAGUCUGUUAAAUAUUUGUUAUCGGAUGAUUACUCAUGCAGCGGGUUCAAAAGAGCAUAUUAAAGAUGCAACUAAGAAGUUAUAUGCAAUGAUUGAUUUAUAUCAUGGCAACCAAGAACCCCCUUCAAUGACCCAAACGGAUUCCAAUGUUAGUUUAACAACAGAGGACACAACUACAGUUGGUAGUUCGUAGCAAGUACUCAGUCCACAAGUUGUGCGCGGAAAAGGCAGACCCCCAUCUCUGAGGAGAGCAUCCAGGAUGGAGCAAGAAAUGCGGAAGGUUAAAGCGAGGACGAAUAAAGUAAAUGUAAAGGAAAAACGUAAAGAGGUUCGAUAUCUUUAAUAACAAGAAUAUUUGCCACAUUCAUGUUUAUUUGGGUUGAUUUAUUUAUGCAAAUAUUGUGCUGAUAUAUAGUUUUUACUUGUUACUUGACUAUUAGCGAGAUGGUGGAGAUACGUCAUCUUAAAACACGUGUAGGAAUUUAUUUGGCCCAUCCGAGAUAGAUCUUGCUAUUGAAGGAAACGUGCAGACUAUUUCAGUCAGCCCAGCUUUUGACAUUAGUGGAUUCCAAAAUAUGGUUGGGAGUCAAGAAAGUAUGCAACUUGAAAUGGGUGGAUCACAACCUUUGCCCAAAUGAUAUGGUUAAAUUUUAAUUCCUGCUAAAGCUAUUUGUUGAAACUUUAU